rnacentral:lncRNA from 1 species
ACAGAUGUGGAUUGAUUGAGGUUCCGUGGUUGUUGAGCUUGGGAGGAAUAAGAUCUAGUUGGAGAAAAAGCUUGUAGAUGCUUAAAGUGCGUUGUCGAAGAGCAACAAGAAGGCCUUUGGCGCGCUCGUGAACGGUGACAAUCUUUGUUGGGAACGCGCUGUUCGGGCUGGCUAUGACAUGGAGCCCCAUACUUUUGUCCAUCAUUUUGAAGAGGUGGCCCGUGCUCGCGAUGGAGGUGCAAAUCUGAUGGCCGGGAAGGAUCCGUUACUUGAUGGUUGAUGAUUGUUUGCUACUUUUCUCCAAGUAUUUGGGGUAUGCCCCGGAUGAAUGAUGUAAAAUUUUUACUUUCGGUCUCUGAACUUGGUAAUAGCUGUUGGUUCUUGACUUUUGUAUCGUGUCCAGAGGCACG